GCCAGUGUGGCAUAGUGGUUUGAGCGCUUGACUAUGACUUUCGAGACCAGGAUUCAAUUCCCAGCUUGACC